GAGGAGUGCCACGCUUACAAAUAUAUAGACUCACUAAAAAAGCAAUCCCCGACUUCAUAUGCAAAUUUAAUUGGCUUAUAUCUAGUAGAAGGCGAGUUUGUAUGCGUUCUUUUACUAAAGUUAAAAGAGAAAGUCCCCCACAACCAAAAGACUAUUAUAGACUGGAUUUUAAAAACUUUGAGCCUUUUGGGGAACAAUGAACUUCAAUCAAGGAUUUCGGAAGCCAUGAGUGCUGUUUCCAUUGAAAAUAAUGAAAGCAAGC